GUUCCACAACACGCAUGUAUCAAGCUGUUCAACUAACUUUGGUGUCAUGAGUGCUGAUAAUUGUGCUGAUAAUUGUGGUGAAAACGUGUCUCUGCCUUUACGAAAUCUCCUGAACUCCAUCCAGUGUAUCAGAGACCGAGUCAGAGAUGGCGAAUCCAACAAGUCAGACGGAGCGUUCAACCUCUCCAACUUCUGGGACUCUCUGAACCAGGCAGUGAAGGCCGUGUCCCAUGAAGCCACUAAACUCAGCCUGGCCUUCUCCAAACCCCCGCUGCCUUCACAACAGGACGUAGAGAAGUUAUCAGAGUCCACCCUGAAGAGUGUCCUGAGUCUGUCCACAGUGUAUUACUGGCUACCUAAGAGCCAAGGUGUCAGUCUGCGUCGACACGUCAGAGACGCCACAGUCGAGGUUCUGGAGGGCGUCGCACAGCUGGUGGAGGUCAUCCUGAGCUCACCGCUCCAGAGUCUGUCCCAGGAUCAGUUGACAUCAACAGGGGGUGUGUGGUCAGCCUGCGACCACUUUGCCCGGUUGCCACAAGAUAAUAAGGCGGCUGUGUUGAUGGUUCUGUCUGAUCAGAUUGGAGUUGUGAAGGAUGCCAUAGAGGAAAUAGAGCAGGCGUUGUCCGAGGACCAGGACCCGUUCAGUGACGUCCUCGACAACGAUCAGGAGCCUCGAGGCAACCAGGAUACCUACUGGUCAGAGAAGGACCGGCGCGUGAUUGGUCCGUGCCAAGGGCUGAUGAAGGCGGCGGCGGCGUGCCUGAGGAAGCUGACGUCGGCCGUCAAAGCCAACGGCGACGUCGCCACGUCUCAGAAUCUCGCUCAGCUCGACGACCUGGCUGAUAUCACCAAGGAAAUCAGUCCUGGUCUUGAUGAUCUGGCUCUGUGCCUCUACCCACCAAUGGACUACAGCGGAGUGGAGAACAACGUGUCUAAAUUGGCGUCAUUGUUGAAGAAGGUUCUGGGGAUCAUCAGGUAAGAUCGAUUGAUAAUGACCAUUCUCACACAUCAUAAAAAUGUCAGACUAGGGUCGCAUAGUUCAGGGAAUAUUCACGGCGGAAACUUUGCAGUGGAAUUAAGAGGAAUUUAUGGGAAUAAAAUUGAGAUAGAGGGUUUAUUUGCUCUGGUUUUAUUUACCAUGUCAUAAACAGAUAGAAACAAACCUUUCACCGGAUCAUAAGCAGACAUAAUCGUCUCCUUAUGACAGACAAGUAUGUCUGCUCAUGGGCUGUGGUUCAGAGGCAGAGCAGGUCCUCCAGUUGGAAGGACGGCAGUUCGAUCCCUGGCUCCAUGUCGAAGUGUCCUUGGCCAAGACACUGAACCCCAAAUUGAAAACGAGAGAGGGGCUAUACAAUUUAUAGUCAAUUUAUCAUUUAACCCUUUUAAUACAAAAACAAUCUACUAUUUGAAGAAAAACCUCCAAAAUAAAACGCUUUUCUCCAAAACAGAAUGUUCCUCUCAGGCCUCCACAUCCUCCCCAUGACGUCCUGUGUGUGACUGAAGUGUGCAGUCCACUGCAUGGUCACAAUUAAACUCAAUUGGCAAAUUUUUAACCAAAACAUGCCAUAACCCCUGCUUUUGUUUUUUUAUGUGUUUUAUCCUCCUAAAUAAGUUCACUAUUAAAAGGUAGGAUUUUUAUAUUGAAAUUCCUAAACUUAACUUGAAAUGGCUUCAAGUCGACUCCGUCAGCCAAUUCUGCUUCCAGCGAUCAGUGACUUCUAAAUUCCUGAUGGGAGCACCUUUAUCUGGAAUCAGAGUGUGAGGAGCAUGUGGGUGGUGUGUUUGUACAUUGGCUCAUCUUAUCAGAUCAGAUUAAAAAAAACAAGUUUCCUUCUGUGACUGAUGGGAGCUGACGAUGGUCGACUUUUAAACUUUUUUUUUCAAAUCACGGAUGUCUUUAUUGUCUUUAUUCUUUAUCUUUAUCUUUAUCUUUAUCUCUACUUAUUCCCACCUGAACAGGUCCAGUCAUGUGUGUGGAGAAUCACAGCUGACCUGGGUUCAGUUCUUAGAUGGAGCCGUCGAUCACAACCUGCAGAAAGCUAAAGACCUCA